UACGUAGGGUGCAAGCGUUGUCCGGAAUUAUUGGGCGUAAAGAGCUCGUAGGCGGUUUGUCGCGUCUGCUGUGAAAACUCGGGGCUUAACUCCGGGCCUGCAGUGGGUACGGGCAGACUAGAUUGCGGUAGGGGAGACUGGAAUUCCUGGUGUAGCGGUGAAAUGCGCAGAUAUCAGGAGGAACACCGGUGGCGAAGGCGGGUCUCUGGGCCGAUACUGACGCUGAGGAGCGAAAGCGUGGGGAGCGAACAGG
rnacentral:rRNA from 1 species